CUGGCAGUCCAGGAGACAGACAUUGUAUAUGGAGCCAUAGAACAGGUAUAGCACUGGCAGCAACAAAAUAAGCAUAUCCAGACUGCAACCUGUGUGCCCAGUUCUGAUCUAGAGCACCCACCUGUAGGGGUGAGAGGGCAAUCCAGUCACUAUUCCCAUUCAGUCCUUGGCAACU
rnacentral:sRNA from 1 species